GUGCUUUAACACAUGCAAGUCGAACGGACCGUUCGGGUCAGGUGGCGGACGGGUGAGGUAAGCGCGUGAUGAAUCUGCCCUGCAGCGGAGCGGGGAUAACGGCUGGAAACGGCCGCUAAUACCCCAUAUGCGCGCGAGGUGAAAUGAAUUUCGCGCUGAGGAUGAGCUCGCGUCUGAUUAGCGUAGGUGUGGUGGGGUAAAGGCCUACCAAGGCGACGAUCAGGUAGCUGGUCUGAGGAGGA
rnacentral:rRNA from 1 species